rnacentral:rRNA from 1 species
ACUCAAAUGAAUAGACGGGGGCCCGCACAAGCGGUGGAUGAUGUGGAUUAAUUCGAUGCAACGCGAAAAACCUUACCUACCCUUGACAUGCCAGGAAGCCCGAUGAGAGUUGGGUGUGCCCGAAAGGGAACCUGGACACAGGUGCUGCAUGGCUGUCGUCAGCUCGUGUCGUGAGAUGUUGGGUUAAGUCCCGCAACGAGCGCAACCCUUGUCCUUAGUUGCUACAUUUGGUUGGGCACUCUAAGGAGACUGCCGGUGACAAACCGGAGGAAGGUGGGGAUGACGUCAAGUCCUCAUGGCCCUUAUGGGUAGGGCUUCACACGUCAUACAAUGGCGCGUACAGAGGGUUGCCAACCCGCGAGGGGGAGCUAAUCCCAGAAAGCGCGUCGUAGUCCGGAUUGUAGUCUGCAACUCGACUACAUGAAGUCGGAAUCGCUAGUAAUCGCGGAUCAGCAUGUCGCGGUGAAUACGUUCCCGGGCCUUGUACACACCGCCCGU